CGGAAAACCGUUGAUCAAAUGUGAUCAUCGGAAGUCCAUGAAUCAAAAAAUGGGGGAAAACAGGGGGAAAUUGACAACGGGUUUGGUGUGGUGAAUACCGAUUUGACUGCUGAACAGCGUUUAAUCAUCAGCCGAUGUUUAACAACGGUUGGUGAAUACGGCCAAGUGUAAGAAGAAUAUUUCUAAAAUAAGGUGGGGGAAAAAUUUAGUUUUUGCUUCUUGAUUUAGCCAGAUCUGGAUCAGCAUCGCAGUUUUUUUUGCUUUCCUUUAAGAUAAGAAGCAUCAGUACUUCACAUAUUGUUUUCCACUUUAGAGCAUUCAUCUUCCAUGGAUUCAGAACAGAAACAUUCUGAAGCCGUCAGUUAAUCUUGUAUUGAAUUUUUUUCUAAAAAACAGAUGAAUAGAAAUUAACUGUCCAUUAUUGAAGUAUUAAAUGCUUCUCAUUUAUCUAGAAUUGGUGAGUAGGUAUGGCCAAAAAUAGAUUGAGAUAUUAUAUUUUUUGAAGGAAAGUCACGCCAAGUUUUAAUGGAAAGGGAAUGUCUGCGAUGCUUUUGGCAAAGAAUUUAAUCAGCUAAAGAAUUUGAAUAAUCAUUGGUGGCCUGACAAAAAGUAAAUUGUACACUUGUGACUUAUGUAAAAGAUGUUUUGAUCUGCCACAAUAAUUUAGGAUGCCUUUAAAUCCUAAUAAAAGAAAAAAAUUGCAUGCUUGUGGCAUCUGUAACAAAGCAUUUUCUCAGUUGGGACAUUUAACGACUCAUUUGCUGACACACACUACAGAGAAACCACAUGUCUGUGAUGUCUGCAACAAAGGAUUUGCUCAACAGGCACAUUUAAUGGCACACUUAUUGACCCAUACAAAAGAGAAACCACAUGUCUGUGAGGUCUGCAACAAAGGAUUUGCUCAACAGGCACAUUUAAUGGCACACUUACUGACCCAUACAAAAGAGAAACCACAUGCUUGUAAUUUGUGUUGCAAAGCAUUUUCUUUGCAAAGGAAUUUAAAGAGACAUUUACUUACUCAUACAAAUGAGAAACCAUAUGUUUGUGAGUUCUGCAACAAAGCAUUUUCUCAAUCGGGAAGUUUAAAGAGACACUUACUGAUGCAUACAAAUGAGAAACCAUUUGAUUGUAAUUUUUGUAGUAAAACAUUUUCUCAAAAGAGCAAUCUUAGAACUCAUUUACAGACACAUACAAACGAGAAACCAUUCAUAUGUGAUGUGUGCAAUAAAGCAUUUUCUCGAAAAACGAAUUUAAAAAUGCAUUUUCCAAUACAUACAAAAGAAAAAACUGCAUGUUUAUGAUUUAUGUAGUUAAAAAUUCUUUUGGCUCUGUUAUUUAAGGAAAUAUUCUAUGACUCAUUCUAAAUGGAAUCCAUUUAAUUUUGAAAUAUACAUAUACAAAAUAGUGUUCUGUGGACACUUUAAAGGACAUUUUUGAGAUUUACUGGAAUGGGUUUCAUUUCAAUAAAUCAUUAAUUUGAACAUUAAUUAAAGUGCAGACUGGAAGUCUUGUUUCAUUAUUUUAAAAAUGACAAAUUCAGAAUUUUAAUGAAAAUUUUAUGUAUCUUUUAAAUGGUUGAAGGUAUUUGUUACA